UCUCACAGAACCUACCUUUCCUUCAUAAUUUUUGAAGAAUAGAGAGGAGAAUGGUAUCUCAUGGCCUUUCCUCUCUUUUUUGGUCAAAUGUUGCCUCAAAUGGACUUAAACCACUCCGAACCGAGCAAAACCUAAUGGUUCCGCUUGGUUUAGUUUGAGCUGGUUCACAAUGGUUUCCUAAUCAAGAGGCCAAAUUGACUUGGUUUCUCACCAGUUCGAGAUGCCCCGAAUUGGGUAGUUCGGGUCAGUUUCGCAUAAUCUUGAUUUCUUGGUUAAUCUCAUGCAGUUUAUCAUUUUGUGAUUGAUGUUGGCAGUUGUUUCAUGAUUUCCUGUUGCAUUAGUAACCUGGGGAUUCUCUCAUUUGUUUGACCAGCACUGUGAGUUCUCAAUAUGCUAUGGCUGCAUUGGAGUAUAUUUGUUUUUUCAUGAGGGGUUUCCUCCCUUUGAUUAUUGAAUUGAUCGUAGUAUUUUUUUUUCCCCUUAUGCUUUUAGUUCAUGUCUUUCUUAGUUUGUUAUUUGUGAUGUUGCAGAAGAGCUUUUGCAACAUGGGACAAUCUUGCUGAAGGGUAUCUUGGUCUGAUAAUUGAAGAAAGUUUAGAGGAAAUGGAGUGUAAUGCUGUGAUUUUUUUUUAAUGAAUAGAAUUUCUAAUCCAUGUUCGGGGAGCUCAUUAUGCUAGCUUUUUUGUGCAGUAGCUGUUCAUGUGGAACCAUGAAGGUUAAUUUAUUAUUUGUGCUGUUGCAGAUUAGCUUGUGCUGCAGGAUACAAUUUUUCCCCAUAUUUGCCAAUAUGGAAGGGUUCACCCUUAUUUAUAUCAUAGUUAGUAUUUGAUGCCUUUAUGUUCCUAAUUACCUUUUUUUUAAUAGGUGUUUCUUUUGAUUAGUAUCUUAGCAAUUUGGGUUAGUAUUUUAGAAAUCUUUUUAUUUGCUUCACCAGAACCUUGAUUUGAUCAGUGAAGGCAAUACUAGAGGAUUAGGGUUAAGAAAGGAUUUUUCAUGACGAGGUUCCUAACUUCCACUGAUAAUCUAGGGGUCACAGCAUGUGGGGCAUGACAGUGAAGAUAUCGAUAAGUGGAUCUGCUUUUUAUAUGCUGUAUCGAGUUUCAUAUCUAUGUUCCAGAAAUGUCAUUUGUGUUAUUAAUGACCUGGUGAUGUUCUCUCAUUUGUUUGACCAGAACCAUCGGUUCUCAAGAUAGCUUGGGGGAUUGGAUCAUGAUAUGCUCUUUUGAUGGAGGGUGUUCCUCAACCUUUAUUAUAGAAUCGAUAAUAUUUCUAUUUUUUUCUCGAACUUAAAGUUCACGUCAUAGGUUUGUUAUUUCUGAUGUCGCAGAAGAGCUUGUACAACAUCAGGCGAUCUUGCUCAAGGGCAUCUUUACCUGAUAAUGGAAGACAGUUCGAAGGAAAUGGAUCAUAGUGAUAUGAUUUUUUAUUAAGGGGGUUUCUCAUCUUUGAUAGUGGAGGUAUUAUACUACUUUUUCCUAUACUAGCUGUUUAUGGGGAAUGGUGAAAGUUACUAUAUGGUUUGUGCUGUGGCGGUAACUUCUGCUGCAGGUUAUGAUUUUGCCCAUGUAGAAGGGUUUGUCCAUAUUUAUAGUUGGCCAUUUUCAAGAUUAAUUUAUAAUUUGUCAAUCUUUGUUCUAAACACUGAAAGUAUGAUUAACUGGGAUUAAGAAAGUGUUUUCCAUGAUGGUGCUUUCUUGCUUCCACAAAUUCUUUAGGAGUCCAGCAUGUUGGAAAUAACACAUUACUAUGUUGGGUUUGCAGCUGAUAUGCUAUAUCAAGUUUCUUAGUUUCAUCUAUUUUCCACGAUCUCAUUCAUCCCUGUUGCAUUAGUGACCUGGUUAGCUUCUCCCAUUUGUUUGACUUCCUUGAGCGCACGAGACAUUUUGGGGGGAUGAGAGAAGGUAUGUUUUGUUUUUUAUGUAGGGGGUUCUUCAACCUCAUGAGCGUUGCAGAAGAGCUUGUGCAUUUGGGGCAUUCUUGCUCAAAGGUACUCUUGAUCUGAUAAUGGAAAAUAGUUUGGAGGAAUGAAAUGAUAAAGGGGGUUUGUCAUCUUUGAUAGCGGAGUUAAUAUUUCUAUUCUUUCCUGCACUACCUGUUCAAACUGUGGAGGUUAAUUUAUUAUUUGUUCUGUUGCCGAGUUUGUGCUGUAGAUUACAAAUUUGCCCUUCUGAAAAGGUCUGUUUCUAAUAUCAUAGUUCUUAUUUAUAUACCUUUGUGUUCCUAAUUUCCAUUUGCAAUCUUAAUUUAGAAUCUGUGAAACUUUAUUCUCAGUACCGAGGUUUUUGUUUUGUGUUAUUAUCUUAGCAACCCUGUUAUUUGCUUUUCAGAGCACCUCAUUUUGAUCAGCGAAGGCAACAUGGGGGAGUUAUUAAGAAAGAAAUUUUCUUGAUCCACUUUGAAGAGAAGGGUUUGCAUCUUUCAGUUUAUGUUGUGAGGGUUAGGUCCACAAGAUACCACAGCUUUUGGUGUUAUAUGAUUCACCUCUGAGUAAUGAGUUAGUAGUUCAAUCCUUUUUGAUUCUUAUCUUCCUAGUAAACGGGCGUCCAGGGCGAUAGGUUGUUUUACAUAUGAAUUUGAUUGUGCUAUGUUUCUCGCUCUAUCUACAGUGUUACAUUACAGAGUUGAAGAAUAAUUUAUUAGUAUUUCCAUCACAGAAUGGAUUCUGUUUUGGGUGACAUUUCGGGCUUACCACCCAUUUAGACCUGUUCGUUCAGCCGAGCAAACUAGGGAGAUGUCAAACCAAAUUCCUUGUCUGAAAUGGCAACGUUAGUGAGCUGGUUAAAAUGCAUGGAGUGAGUGUGAAAAGCUUCAUGAGGCAGAGGGAGAAUGACAUAAGUCUUUCGCUGUUGAGGUGCAGUUCUAAUGUAAUGAGGGAUUUCCAAUCGGAGAUUGUAGAAAGACGGAUGCGGCAUAUGGGAUGCACAUUAUUUUUUGAUGAGGAAGGACUCGGACUUUUUGAUCUUGUUGGUAACAGCCGCACUGAAGGGAAAACGCAAACAUGGAACAUGGGUGGGGAAACAUUGAUGGUCUGACACACCUCAUGCAUUGAGAUAUUAAGGGAGUUGGUGUUAUAUAGUAAAAUAGAUAAUGGGAUUAUUGAUGGUUUUUGUAUACUAUAGGCUAUGGAGGUAAGUAGAUUUUGGAUUUGGUUAUCUUUGAUGAUCCUUUUUUUUAUUUCAUAGUGUUGAAGCUAUCUUCUAGCUCGUAUUCAUCUUCAUGCAGUGCCAGUUCUUUAGGAGCGAAAGCAUAUGAUAUGGAGGCUAUUUUGUUAAGUGGCUUUGUAGCUGAUAUCUCUUGGUUCAAGAAUAUCACUCAUUCUUAUUGAUCUAGUAACCUGGUGAUCAUCUCUCAUUUCAUUGACCCGCUUCUUGAUCGUUAUAGGAUGUACGCACAAAUUGGAGUAUGAUAUGACCUUUUUCACUGGCGUUGUCCUCAGCCUUGAUUGUAGAAUCAGUUAUAGUCAUUUUCCCUGAUACUUAGAGUUUGUGUGAUAAGAUAACUUGUUAUUUCUGUUGUUGCAGAAAAGCUUGUGCAACAGGGAAACAAUCAUUCUCAGGGUAUCUUGAUCUUGAAGACUAUAUGAAAGACUGGAGUGUAAUGUUGUUAUUUUAUAUUAAGAGGGUUCGCUUUGGGAGUUUGCGAUAUUUUUUUUCCUACACAAACUAUUCACAUGGAAGAUUGAUUUGUGCUUAUGUUGCAGCAUGCAAUUUUUCCAAGGCGAAGAGCAGAGUUUGUCCUUUAAAUCCUAGUCAUUGUUUACGUGCAUUUGUGUACCUAAUAAUCACCUUUUUCCAUUAUUAGCUUGUGUUCUCUUAAUGUAUCUGGUCCCUUGGUAUAUUUUGGAAAAUGCUGGAUUAUGAUUUGUAA